AGGCUGGCUUCGGCAGCACAAAUACUAAAAUUAGAACUAUACGGAGAACAUUAGCAUGGCUCCUGUGCAAGCGUGACACGCAAAUUCAUGAAGCAUGCCAUAUUUUA
rnacentral:snRNA from 1 species